UAUUCUGGCUCAAAACAGCAGCUUUGUGAGAGGACACAGCAGCUAAAAUGGGAUGAGGCUGGAGGGCCAGGUGCAGCAUGAAAGAUUUCAGUGUCCCAGGUGCUGCCAAUGAUAACAAAAACAGAGAGAAGCCUGCUGCAUCCUCCUGCCCAUGCACUUGGACUUCCAGCCAAGCACCUAAAUUAGGGGCCGCACAAGAUUCUGCAAGAACACCUUCAAAGAUCCUAAUCACUUCGGGAAAAAAAAAUUACAAAGGGAACGAACCACCCACCUCUUCCACCAAGAAAGGAAAAGACAGAACGGCUCUACUGCAGCUACUGCUGGGGAACACAAGAAGCCAAGGAGGCAGCUUGAGAACUGGAAUCGUUGUAACCUGACUUAGACCCAGCAAACACGAGGUUCUCAGAGGUGAGAUCUUUGUGCAGAGCCGAGUUUCCAGGACAGCUGUGCCCCAGAUGGAGGCCAGUGUGGCUGUGCAGUGCUGUGCUUACUUGGCGAGCUGCAGGACGUUGCGGUAGCAGCUGUACAGGGAGCUCUCGGCCGCCGUGCGGUACCGGCUCUUGUACUUGGGGCCCACCGUGUGGAUGAUGAAACGCGCAGCCAGGUUAAAUCCUUUCGUCAGCUUGGCCUCGCCUGUCCUGCAGCCUGCCACCAAUAAAACAGCGGGGUUGCUGGUGGCCACAACAGGGAAUGAGUCAGAAGAAGCAGCUGCAGGCAGCCUUCAGGCAGCAGUGCUGCAGCAGCUUGGCUUAAGCUGCCCACUGAACAGGGAUGUUCAACUCUCCCACUCCACUCUCUCCUCAUAGUGCUCAGGCAAGCUAGCAGUAUGCAUGAAAGCAUAUUUUAUGGGAAGAGACACUCCAGGCUGAGAAUCUUCCUUAUCUAAAACUUCAAGAGUAUCUUUUUAAUGGCAACCACACUGCUGCCUUGAAGCCAGCAUCUUGUAACUUUUUGAUCCAACAAAUCACAUAAUUAGCUCUAUAGACCUCUACCAUGCUUCUUCUGGGUUAAUCAGAAGGAAGAAAACACCAUACUAAAACUAAGCAUACUCUUCUGAAUUUCCUGCACAGCCUCUAAAACAGCUCGAGAGACGGAUUAAAUAAGCACAACAUGGAAAAAGGAAAGCCAAACCCAAAACAAUGUAUCAGAUAUCAAGUUACUUUUCUUCCUCUGCAGUCCCCACGCCUGACAAUCAGUGAGGAGCAAGCAAAGGCCUGUAGGAAAAACUUGUGAAAAAAAGAAUGAAGCAAGUUUGAUUGUGGUAUAGCUGUGAAUUCAGUAGGGAAACCAAUAAAUUCAGGGAAGCAGAUGUAGCAUUGGUAAUCUUUAAUUAUAAAGAUCACACUUCAUACCUCCCAAGGCAUUCUGCCUGGAGAUGUCUAUACAACUUAUAAAAUUAAAUGAGCAGUAGGUAUUACUCUUAUUUUAAAAUACAAGGUGAGGGGAGCUGCACAAGUCAAGGUCUGUGGCAAAACUGAGAACAAAGUCAAGAUCCUAUUUUUUAUCCGAUAAGAUUUCAGCUAUUAGAAUAGCUUACUCAAGUUUAAAAUGGAAAGUCUGGAUCGUCUACAUCAUGUGUGCGGCAGAGAAAAAGCAUCACCAGAGCUGUAAGUGCCCCAAAAGGUCUUUAUUAGACUGCAACAUGUAUUUGUUGAUAAGCAAGCUUCUAUCAACAGCACUACAUCUGCAAGCCUGCCCCUGGCUGUAGUAUUUCUGCAUUAAUCAAAACUCAUGCUGCUCCCAGGAACAUACAACUUAGCUGAGCCUUAAAGAAGGCACAGGCCUUUGAAGAGUCAGCAUGUCACAUACUUUCAGGACAUGGUUUUUCUUGGAAUCUAUGAAAUGUGAAUAUAUACCAAGCAGCAGGAAUAAAGCAGGAGAGACCUAACUGAAAAUGCAUUUUACAGCUUUAGAACACAGACCAGCAUUUUCCCUUUUUCAGCACAUUCUCUAAUGAAAAAAUGUCAAGGCUAAGUGGGAAAGAGGGCAAAAAGGAAGCAGAGGUGACAAAUGAAUCCUAAACUGAUUUAACUAAGCUCUCCAUCCACUUCUGCUACUGUGACAAAUAUACCAUGGGUGCUUAAAUGCCAAAUCUGUAACCCAGCCUCUCUUUCCUCCCCCACACAACAUGUCAGUAGGGUGUCACAGAAGAACUGAUUUCCAUAAAGCUCUUGGCACAAGAUUAAAAGAGAAGUGUCUUCAUAGGGAGUUGUGAACCUGCAGAAUGCAUUACAGGGAGAAGACAUGGUGUUUUCACUGUGGUAGAAGAUGCAAAACUAUGCAUAACUCAGCAGGGUAAAAGGGAAUUUAAGAAGCUGAGCACAACAGCUCCUUACAGAGCUGACAGAUCUCAGACUUUAGGACUCCUUGAAAUGCAGCUCCUCUCUUCCCACCUCUCAGUCCACACAAGAAACCCAAGUGUAUUUCAGAUGAGUUCUGGCAUAUAAUGUGGGGUCCUAACUAUUCUAGAUCACCUACGGUAUUUUAAUUUCCUCCCACAGCAUACACUGAAUUUUUGCUCUGUUAUAAAAUGGCUACUCUUUCUCCUGUUUAAUUUCUAGGUUACUCAAAAAAAGCAAGCUGAAUCAGCAAAGGAUGAUUUUAUAGAAAGAGGACCUCUAUUCAAUUGCAAUUUAAGCUACUGAGAGUUUAUAUUAGAAUUAUGGCUCUUCUAUAUCCAUUUUGUCACGAUGUAAGGAGACCAAGCUAUGUAAGGACCAAGUUAUCAAGAGUGAGCAGUACCAUACAGAGACCUCAAAAUUCAGUUCAGUAUCAUAGUUCCCAGAGAUGUGAAUUUUUAUCUGCAAACCAUAUUAGACUUCUGUAUGACCUUGGAUAACUAUAAACUUUUGUUUGUCACACACAAAAUAAGGAAGCUCUUAUUCCCAGUGCCUGUUAGAUGAAAAACAAAGGUUGAGUAUUCAUCUCCCAUUAUCAACAAUAAACUCGUUUAAUAAAGGCUCUAGGCAAACCUCAUCCAUUUCUACAACAGCCUUGCAUUAGGGCUUCUCUUUUAGCUUUCCAAUAAAGUCAUUUGUUGUACACGAGAGACAAAUGAACCAACCAACUUAAGAAGUCACAAAGAUUUUAUUUAGACAUGCAGUGUUUCAUCAAUCCAUCUAUUAUUAUCAUAUCUUUCUGAAAGACUGUGUGUAUAUUAAUAUCCUGAAAGAGGAUACACAAAGUGCAUGACAUAAUCCACUUAACUUCUUUAAUGGUGAACUUCAGUUUCUGUCUUUCAUUAUGUAUACACACUGAACAGGAUAAAAUCUCAAGAUGUACAAGACUGGUCCCUUGAGCAAAAGCUCUGAUAAGCUAACUGCUCAAAGUGGCUUCAGACACCAAUGGGAAUUCUUGUAUCACAAAGUAAGGGCUCAUCAACUCAAAUAUCUGCCACAGACUUUCAAUUAUCUGUCACGUGAGCAGCAAAAAGAGACUGGACUGGCAGGUGUUUCCCCCAUUUUUUUUAAUGUUAAUAUCAGCUGUUGGGGGCUGGGGAAAGCUCUAUCUUUUUCAUUUGUUCCUCAAUCCUGAUGCUUUGUACUAUGCAAGGACAGGAGACUUCAAUAAGAUAAAAAUGUCUCUGGCCACUUACCUUUGAGCUUCUGGAGCUCAUCCUUCAGGUCAGGCCCAGCAUGCAUGAAUAUACUUUCAGACACCGGGUUCUUAUCUGUGAGAGUCUCAUUGCUGGUGUUUACGAUGGCCGUGCAGUUCAGUAACGCCACAUCUCCUUUCCUGAGGAAACAGUUUAUUGCAGCCUGAAUGUACAACUGAGCAGGAUAUUCUCAAAUCAGUGCUGACAAGAGAGGAAAUGUCGAGUUACAGGAAAAGCAUCGACAAGACUCCAGUGCCCACACAGCACAGCGUACCCCGAUGUGCUCACCAAGCCGAAUCAUCUCUGGCCUCUCCCUGAUGGAGACAGACUGCAUGCAAAACUCAGCUCUUUAGAGUCCCAGCCUCAGCAGUAACUUGGGGUGUUUGUAGAAAAGGCAGUGCUGUAGCUGUAUGUAGGGCAGCUCAGGCAGCAAACAUGCAAAGCAGCUUGUUAAACUGAUGGAGUGCAACACUUCCAAAAACCCACAUAUUUUCUCUUGGGGAUAAGAGGACAGCCCUUGUGUUAUAUUAUUUUCAAAACUUAAACAACCUUUUCAAGGCACUUCUUUUAUUUUUUUGCAGACAGACUAUCCAGGGCACCUUACAACUGCUCUUCCUCAGACCACUGUGGGUAUAGAGUGAUGCUGCAGCCAGACAAGUUUUCUUCUUUUUGCUCCCAAAUUGUGAACCUUCAAGUUGAUCGUGUUCAUUCUGCUGUCCAAAGAUCAGACAUGCAGAAGAUAAACAAGUCACAGAUGCAUAAGGGACAAUGGAGUAGCAGAACUUUGACCUGCUUUUUGUCACAGCAGCAGCCAUCCGGGAUUUUGGGAUCAAAGAGCAUAGGAAGGGAAAUAAAGAUUCCCACGCACAGGGAGCAACUAAACUAACAGUUGAAAUUGCACACAUUUGCCCAAGCCAUAAGAGAUAUUUAACCUUUUACUCCUCUCUUUCUUUACUCUCUGUUUUACUCCUCUCUUUCUUUAUUUAAUUGAGUUCAGGAAAUCCAUGAAGAAUCCCAUUUCCUCCAUAUGUUAACCAGAAAGAGGUUCAGGCUGAUCCUUGAAUCUGCAUCCCUGAGAAAUCCUUCUCCCUUCACACUGAUUAAGUUAAGAGUUAUUCAUCUAAAGAGCAGCCUCAAGUAUCUGAGUAACAGGAAAGAAACACUGGUGGAGUACAGCACACUAUACUUCAUCAAUCAAUUUUGAAAGAAAGUCAUGGAGAAAAAACACAGAAUGGUGGAAGGAGGGGCAGGAAGAGCCAGAAGCAAGCCACAAGAAUCACAGAAAAGAAAGAAAUACUGAUUUAAAACAGAAACGUGAAAGCAGAAUAACACCAGCAAAUACAGAAAAAAGCUACUAAACAGCAAACAUAUUUUUUUAAAAUUAAAAACUCAUAUCCAAAUGCCCAACUAGAUUUUGAUACUAAGCAUACUGUAUCACAGUAGGAAGUACAGCUCCAGUCUGCUGCAUCAAGGACUGCCUGUGAGCAAAACCUAUGGUGGAGCAAAAUCCCACACUUUAAAAGUUACAGUGAACAAAAAGAUUAUGUUAUUCCCAGACCUGUAAUGUUUGAUUCAAGAAAAGAGGAUUUAGAAGUUUUAUUCUACAGCAGUGAUCAUUACAUGAAGAUAUGGAUCCUGCAGUAAAUGGAGAAGUGAUGACUGACACCCGAAAGCCACAUGGAACUUACCACAAGAUUAUUUUUUCAUUGAUGUCUUUCCUGUAUGGAAAAGGUGAUCUAACAUCAACUUGAGCUUUUUCAACAGGACUUUGGUGACAAUCCAGCUGCUUGGCCUCAUAGGCAUCACUCCAGCCUGGCAGACUAUCAACAUCCACAAACUGGGAAGGAGCACCCAAGGGAUCCAUGGAAUGGAAACAGCAACUCCCUUCCUCUGCUAACUUGUCACACUCCAGUUUUCACUGGAGUCUUCCAGGUGCUUUAAAGAAAAAAAAAAAAAAAAAAAAUCAAA